CCCAUAUAGUGAUACUUCCUUCCAAACAAAUUGGAAUAUUAUAAAAUAACUUAGAAAUGUUGCCAGGUGUUUUUAUGGAGGGGAGGGGGAGUAUCUGUUUCUUUGUAUUCAUGCUAAUUCUGGGGCUUGAACUCAGGGCCUGGGCAUUGUCC